GAAAUCCACUCUUUUGAUGGAGUUUUUGGCCAAUGACUGACAAAGGGUCUUGUGGAUUGCAAGGAAAGCUUGUGCUGAUUGGUGGGCUGGUAUGACGUAAACUUUACCACCCAAAAAAAUUGGUAAAGUUUAUUUUAAAAAAAACAAAACAAAAACAUGUUCCCUGAACAUGUUUCCUGUUUCCUUUUCAUUUAUAUCCAGAGUCCUUAUCACUUUAUAUUCCAUGACUUUAAAAACAGGACUUGAUGACAUUUUAUGUGUUCUGUUCAGACCAAAAAAGAAAAAAGAAAAAAAAAAAGAGAAAAUAUAAUCAGAAUUUUAAUGUGAAAACUUGUAAUAAGAAGGGAGAAGCAGAGAUGCACUGGACAGCUGGACAACUCGCUGGUCUCUUGCAGCAUCCUUUUGUUCCUGAUUGUAUUCCAUUAUAUCACAGAAUUAGUUUUAACUUAUUUUUAAACUAUUUCAAGCUUUACCUCAUUGUAAACAAUGACAAGUUGAGAAUGGCCCCCCGUUGUCUCUUCUGUUUCACUCAAACCUGUCCAGUGUAUCGCCUCUUAACAGUUACUGUAGAGUAUGAACCCUCACUACAAGUUUGGUUUUUUUUUAAUUUUUUUAUAGGCAUUCCUCUGUUAUGUUGGUUUACCUGUCCUCAUGAUUAUUUUUUUUUGUAAUUCCUUUUCGUCCUCAUGUUAUGGUCUGUGAAAUGUUUGAUUAUUAUAGGGAUGCAGCUACAGUUACACAAACAUCACUACCGUUUUAAGGUACCUGCGUCUUGGGCUCCCAGACUUGUUACUUAUGUUGGAUGUUGGUGUCUUGUUGUUAGGCAGUUGCUGUUUAGUGAUUGCAUGGUACAUCUGAAUUUUUCACACUCCUCGAUCCCCACCCACCCAUUCCUAGAUCCACAAACGUGUUAUUUAUCGCCUGAUACAUUGUUGCUUGUGACCUCUUCUAGCCGAAGAGGGAGUCCACAAUGCAUUGCCUUCAAACGUUGUUGUACUCGCAGCCCUUACUGCAGUACAGUGUAAUGUCUGUAAUGCAAAAGGUGUUUUGUACUACACGAUCUCUAGCCAUCUCUGCAAAGGUUUUUGCAGCUGCAUUUGAAUGCUUGCUUGUUCGACGUAACGAAGAAAAAAAAAAAGGAAAAAAAAAACAUACUACGAACUCCAAACUGUGACCAUGCUACUAUUACUACUAUUAUUACUACUAUUACUACUACUAUUCAAAUACUUCAGGGAUUGUUCUGCAUCUGUGAAUGCAGACUCUCAGCUACAUUUGUAAAAUAUAGCAUUGUAUCAAUUUCUCUGUAUUUUGAUCAUGGGAAAAGCAAAACACUAGUUUCAUAUUUAAGACAAACAGGGGGCUACUUUUUUUCAACUAACACAAAAAGCCUUGACAAAGGUGAGGCAGCUCAAAACAAGUCUACGUUUUAGUUAGUAACACACUAUGUUCAGAAAUAGUUGCAACGUUGUACAAAGAACUAAGAAGAAAAGGAGAGAAAAAAAAAAGCUCAUACCCAAAUCCACAAACUAUUUUUUAAACCAAAGCACAUUUGAAUGAUUAUGGAACCAUGUGUGGCUCUAAAAAGAAACAUAUGUAUUUAUCUCAUUGUUUACAUAAACUUUUACAGUUUUACAGACCUCAGUCGAGGCUCGGCCAGUUAGGGAGAUGGUUUUGUGUGCGUUAUCAUUUUUUCUUUUCUUUUUUUUUGUGAAAGAUGCUUUUCCACAGAGGUUGCUGCCAAAACAAAAGCAUAGCGUUAAACAUGGAGUGAACUACUGCAUAUUCAAUUAAGGGGAGGGUGUGUGGUUUUAGGGGCACUCCCCACCCCUCCCCUCCCUGCCAGCUGGCUUUGGGAUGACCCUGCGCCCCAAUCCUCCUGCCCUCUGGCCUGUCUUCAGAUGGGACCACAGAAAGUGUGUUUGGGGGGGGGGGGGCUGUGCAUCCUUGACGUAUUAAUCAAAAGGCAUUGUUAGUCAGGGUCUUUAGCUCAAUGUUUGUCUCUUUGUUUACCCAAAUACACUCGAGGAAUACCUCUGCUGCUUGGGUCUCUUAAUAUGUAGGUGUGGGUGAAUGAUGCUUGAAUAUUUUGGGUUGUUUUCGUAGUCCGACGUGGUACAUCUCUUAUGCUGGCGGUUCUUGAAACCUAUCUGGAGAAUGUAGCUUUGAUUUGUUCACUGCAUGUAAACAAGCCUAUCUGGUAGUCUUAACUGUGAAUGUUAUUGUCAGUUUUCUGCUUUUAUGAUGUUGUUUUGAAACUUUUUUUUAAAGCUGCCUGUGUUCUGUGGGUAAAAGCAGCACAAAACUCUGGCUGGCUGAGCCUCAAAGAAAGUUGGUGCAAACACUUAUUGACAGUGUUCUUUUUUUUUUUUUUUUUUUUUUUUUUUUUUAAUCAAAUGUCUAUUGUCAGUGAUGAAUGUAUUUAUUUCUGGGCCUGCCCUCACCUUUUUCAAAGAAUUUGCUCAGUGUGUGAGACUGAGGUGGAGGCAGGACCCCCCCCCCCCCCCCCUUUUUUUUUUUUUUUGUUUUGUUUUGUUUUUUUGUUUUGAGGAUUUCAAGCUGAGAAUCAAAACUAAGACACAAGACAUAGCCAUUAACCACAAUCUGUGAAGCUGACCUUAUUUGUGGGAGAAUUGAAUUUCUUUUCUUUGUUUCGCUUCCUUUUUUUAUUUUUUAUUUUUUUUAACUCAAAAACAAAAUGGUCUAUGGCAUUAAUUAUCUGCUCUGUAAUACCUGACAGUCUGUAGGGUUUUUAGUUCAAGUAAGUCACUAUGGGUGUUUUAUUUUAUUUUUAUUACAUUUCUUUUGCCCAUUUGUUCUUGAGGUCUCACUGAAUGACUGCACACCAGUGGAAGUAAACCCUGUGUGUGCGUGUGUGUGUGUGUGUGUGUGUGUGUGUGUGUGUGUGUGUGUGUUUCUGUGGACACAGACAGGACGCUGUCCCUGCCUGUGCAGCGCAGAGGCUACUGUAUCUUUUCGAGCUUGCUUUCCCUGGGUGUUGCCAUCCUGCUGACAUUUUAUGUAUAUUUUAAACAAACAAACAAACAAACACACAGCAGAAAUGUGCACGUAACCCACAGAUCUCUCCUCUCAGCCGUCGUUUUCCUCUCAACCAUUGUUACAUUUCUUCUAUUAAACCACUUGCCGCUACUCCUUUUUUUUUUUUUUUUAAAUCUAACUACAUAAUGUUUUUAGUAUCUGUAAGUUUAACAUCAGAGGAUUUUUAGAAACGUUGAAUACGAUAGCUUUACUAAGUGCACUUUGUAUGUUUUUCAAGGUCUUUGGGAAAACCCAGAUGCUCUCCCAUCAGUUCCGAUUUAACUGACGGUUUAUUCUUUCUUUCUCUUCUUACCUCAUCUAUGUUGCUGUGUUUGUUGAGCUACCAUAUCAAUAUGCAGUUGCUUUUGUUUAAAAAAAAAAAAAAAAAGCUUUAAAGUGACAUAUUCAAAGCGGGAAACUCACCAGAGAGACCGUACUUGGCUUUAAACUUCCAAGUUUCCAUCUCAUUUUUCGUCGUCAUUAACUUCUGCCAUCCUCUCCAGGCAUUUUCUCUAGUAGAGGGGCUGGUCUGUCUAGAUAUUAUGGAGAUUCUUCUUCUUACCUUGACAGACUUAACCAAAGCCACUUUUAAAAUGGCCUCCAGUGCCAUUAAACCCUGUUUAUUAGCUUUAUUGUCCCUUGCUUUAUCUCACACGCACACGAGACCCUGGCUUUAGCCUGUUGACCCUGUGUUAUUUCGGUUACCACACAGUGGACUUUAUCUCGCUCCUUGCUGAAUUUUUCAGUAUUUACUGUACUUUCUGUGACUAAUAAACUGAACACACCAAAUUACCUCAAAGCUUGUGUUUACAGAAAUGCACUCUCUUGCCAUUACCUUUAGACUUCUUGUUUUUCUGCCGUCCUUCUGUAACAAGAAUAUCCUGUUUUUGAAGUAAAGUUUCCAGCAGCGUAUUUUCAUCCAUAACUGUUAAUUUAUGUUUAUUAAUUUUUAAAGGCACAUUGUCACCUUCAUGUGCACUACAUUAAUGGAAAGACAUAAUUAGCUGCUAAGAAAUACUGAAGAGUCGAUUAGUGGAGUUGCCCAUAAAGCGGGCGUAUUGACCCUUUCUCUUAGGUUUUCUUCGGGAACAGCCUCUCAAUAAUGGAUCAGGAUCCAUGGCCUGAGAGGCUCGCGACUGGACAUGUAGGGACUUUGGUCAUAAAUAAUUAAAGGGCAAGAAGGCCUCCCCCUUGGCAAACACACUUCACAUGCAAAAGUGUAUAUGCCCAGGUACACUUCAGCAAGCAUGUGCAUAAACCUUCACCAAUGUAAACACACGUUCUACCGUCUGGACUUCUAACAUGCUCAUACACUAGUGUUUAACGUGAGAUUCUCUCACCUUUUGUGGCUUUUGGCAGCACCCAGGCUGGGCUCUCUUUCUCUCUGUCUUUAUCUCCACUCCUCAGAGAGCUCUUAUUCAGGUCAGAGCCACAACCGUGUGCAGCGGCGUGGCUCGCAAACUCAAAGUGUCAUAAAGUGUAAUACAGCUGACCUCAGCACUCAUAACCUUGCAGUCUUAAUGUACAGCAGUGAGGAAAAAUAAACUGUUAUUUUAUGAUCUUUUCAUUAAAAGCUUGAUUGAAAACCAAGA
ensembl:lncRNA